CAUGGCUAAGUGCCCGGGUUCGUCCUACUCAAACUGAACACUAGUCGCAGGGUCCCACGAUUCUCUUCCGUGACCCACAGCUUCUAAUAGAGCUAUAACACCCACCGCAUGGCCCAAGUUCCAUUCCUUGGAAUCUGUGAGGCCAAGAACCCCAGAUGAGAGAACAAAAACCUUGCCUCCAUCUUGGGCGUGGCCCACCUCCAUCUUGGGAGCUCUAAGAACAAAGACCUACUGAUAACGUUAGGUCCUCAUUAAAUGUUUGGUAAAAUUUACUCAUGAAGUCACCAGGCUUUGCUUUAGUGGAAGACUUGUAUUGCUAAUUCUGUCUCCUUAUGUAUAUAUGAUCUGUUCAGAUUUUCUAUUUUUUUCUGAUUUAGUUGGUAGAUUUUGCUUGUCUAUGCAAUUACCCAUUUCUUGAGGAUUUUCCAAUGUAGGAGCAUAUAAUUGUUCAUAGUAGUCUCUUACGAUUCUUUGUGUUUUUGUGGUAUCAAUUGUAAUGUCUUCUCUUUUGAAUUGUGUUCGAGACAUCUUUUUUCUUCUUUUUAAGUUAGUCUGGCUAACGUACGCUGUUUUGUCAUCUCAGUGAACCAAUGCUUAGUUGCUUAGUUGCAUUGAUCUUUUCUGUUGUCUUUCUGCUCCCUAUUUGUGUAUUUCUGUGCUUUCUUACUUUCUUCCUUCUACUGAUUUUCGGUUGUUUUGGUUUUUCUUUUUUAUAUUCUUGAGAUGUAACAGUAACUUAUCUAUUUGAUAUCUUUUUGGAUGUAGGUAUUUAUUGCUAUAAACUUCCCUCUUGGAACUGCUUUUUCUUCAUUCUUUAAAUUCUGAUGUGGUUUUAUAGUAUUCAUCUCAUAAGACUUACCUUUUACAGUUAAAAUGUUCUAAUUUAAGCUGAUAGUACCUUAAUUUUAUUACCUCAUGAAGACUCUUCAUUUGUUUCAUAUUUUAUAUGUUCUGCUGUUGAAGGGAAAAUUCUAUUAUCUGGUAGGUAUAUCUAGUCUAAAGUGUUGUUCUAAUUCACUAAUUCAAUAGAACUGUUGGUUCUAUUGAAAUGUCCCAUUGUUACUAAAUGGAAGUUCGUAGAAUCUUUCCAAUCUAUUACAUCGUUAUAUAUAUAGGUAUGCUGAUGAAGGGAGUGUGCAUUUUUACAAUUGGUACAGAAUUUUAAUUAACUGACCCUAUUAUCAUAAUAAUAUUCCCCCACGCUCUUUACAGGUUUUGACUGGAAGCCUUUUUUUCUGAUAUGAGCAUAGCAACAUCUCCUCUUUUGCUUGGAAUAGCUUUUUUAAUCAGCUUUUUUAAAAAAUAGCUUUUUUAAACAUUUAAUUUUAAUGUUGAUUCCAAGCAAAUCAACAUUUGCUUGGAAUAGCUUUUUUAAUCUCUUUACUCUCAGUCUCUGUGUGUUGUUAAGUCUAAUGUGAGUGUCUCGUUAGUGGCGCCAUAUUGUUUAAUAUUUUUUGUUCUUUUUUUUUUAAUCUAACUUGACUUUCUGUGUCUUUUGAUUGAAGAAUCCAUGUAGUUAACAACUUACUACUUGCAUUUUGUUAAUUUUUGACUGACUGUUUUGUUCUCUUCUACACUUUCAGUCUUUGUUUUUGAUUAGUUGUGUUUUAUCAGUGGUAUAUUUUUGUCUCUUGUGUAACUACUAGAGAUUUUUUUUCUAUUACCUAGCAUGGUUCUUAUGUAAAACAUCUUGUAUUCUAAUUUAAGCUGAUAGUACGUUAAUUACUAUAUGAAGACUCUACCUUUUCAUUUCCCACCUUUUAUGUUAUUAAUAUUAUACUAUGCAACUAUUUGUAUUGGGUAUCCACUAAGGAGUUCUGUAUAGUAUAGUUGUUAUUAAUACAUCUCUUAUUUAUAUUUGUAUACUAAUUUUAAUAGUAAUUUAAACAUUACUUUUAGAGUAGGAGAGAAUACUGUAUUGACUGUUCAUUUAACUUUACUGGAGAGCCAUAUGUUUUGUUAUUAUUAUUUAUCAUGCUCUUGUUUCACAUGGAAAAACUCUUUAGACAUUUCUUGUUAAGUCUUGUCUGAUGGUGACAAAUUCUCAAAUUUUGUUUGUGUUAAAAUGUACUUACCUGUUUUUUUAUUGCUGAAAUACAGCUUUGCAGUUUAGAGUAUUUUUAAUAAGCUUUUUUAAAUUUUAUUUUAGCACUUUCAACAUGUCAUCCCACUUUCUACUCACUUGCAAGUAUUUUGUUAAGAAGUUUCCUGAUAGCCUUACCUAGAAGACCCCUUUGAGUUUAUCCUCUUGCUGCUUUCAAGAUUCUUUUCAUCUUUGAUAUUUACAAUUUGAUUAAUGUGUCUUGGAGUAUUCUCUUUUAAAUUGAUCCUAAUUGUGGCAUUUUGAAUUUCUUGAGUUCAUAUCCCGCCUAGAAUUCGGGAAGUGUUUGUACAGUACAUAUUUAAAUAAGCUUCCUGGUCUUCUUUCUCUCCUCUUUUGGGUACACUCAUAAUUGUUAUAUUUAUGCAUGGAUGUGGUGCCACAGAUCACUUUUAACCUUUUCCUCUUUUUUUUUUUCCCAAUCAUUUGUUGUUGUUGUUCCUCUAAUUGGCUAAUUUUCAUCUGACUGCUAUUUGAGCUUGUCAGUUCUUUCUUCUGCAUGAUCAGCUAUGCUGUUGUAACUAUUGAAAUUUUAAAUCUAAUAUUAAAUUGUAAAUAUUUAAAA
ensembl:lncRNA novel transcript